CCUACGGGUGGCAGCAGUGGGGAAUAUUGCGCAAUGGGCGAAAGCCUGACGCAGCGACGCCGCGUGAGGGAUGAAGGUCUUCGGAUCGUAAACCUCUGUCAGCAGGGAAGAACGGUCACUGUGCUAAUCAGCAGUGAAUUGACGGUACCUGCAAAGGAAGCACCGGCUAACUCCGUGCGAGCAACCGCGGUGAUACGGAGGGUGCGAGCGUUAAUCGGAAUUACUGGGCGUAAAGCGCUCGUAGGCGGGAGGUCAAGGCAAGGGUGAAAUCCCCGCGCGCAACGUGGGAACUGCCUUUGAAACUGGCAAACUGGAGUGUGUGAGAGGAUAGUGGAAUUCCAGGUGUAGGAGUGAAAUCCAUAGAUAUCUGGAGGAACAUCAGUGGCGAAGGCGACUAUCUGGCACAUAACUGACGCUGAGGAGCGAAAGCGUGGGUAGCAAACAGGAUUAGAUACCCCUGUAGUC
rnacentral:rRNA from 1 species